rnacentral:rRNA from 1 species
UACAGGGGGUGCAAACGUUGCUCGGAAUCAUUGGGCGUAAAGCGCACGUAGGCGGUCUGUUAUGUCGGAUGUGAAAGCCCUCGGCUCAACUGAGGAAGUGCAUCCGAAACUGGCAGGCUAGAGUACUAAAGAGGGUCGCGGAAUUCCCGGUGUAGAGGUGAAAUUCGUAGAUAUUCGGAAGAACACCAGUGGCGAAGGCGACUUACUGGACACAUAUUGACGCUGAGGUGCGAAAGCGUGGGGAGCAAACAGGG